GUUAAAAGUUUAAAAUUCAUAGCACCUUCAUAUGUCAUAGCACAUUGUUGAUAUAUGUUUAAAGUGUAUGUACAGAAAUAAAAUCAAGUACUGUCAUCACAAUUACAGGUCAGUUUUAGCUUGAUAUUUGAAGCCCAAUGAGUGAACAAAUUUUGCUCUUGUUAACUGUCCUGAUUGGUACUUAGCCCACAUUUCAAAUAAAUGAUCGAGUUUCUCCUUUUCAACGGUACAUCUCCUUGAAAGGUCUCCAAUUUUUAGGGUUUGUUCGAAACGAUAUAAAAAUCCAUCAAGACAUAUUCAUUUUUUUUCUUUACUAGUAACUAUAACUUUAAAAUCCAUGUUCACUGUGUAAAUGUGAACUAACUAAUGACAAAUAUAAGUUAAAUUUAUUUACGUAAUGAUUUACUUCUCAUUAAGAUUACAGGUAGUCGACUAUAGGUAAAAAGCGCAAAUGUCUGGUGAAUUUAGUACAGGUAAAUCAAAAUUAAAAGCGCAAAUGUCCAUAGUAUUUGAAGCGCAAAUGUCCUAUCGUUUUACAGGUAAAAAAGCGCAAACGUCCUGUGCCC
rnacentral:lncRNA from 1 species